rnacentral:rRNA from 1 species
UGCCUACGGAGGCAGCAUGGGGGAUAUUGCACAAUGGGGGGAACCCUGAUGCAGCGACGCCGCGUGGGUGAAGAAGCGCUCGGCGCGUAAAGCCCUGUCAGCAGGGAAGAAAAUGACGGUACCUGAAGAAGAAGCCCCGGCUAACUACGUGCC